CGUGUAGGCGGCCAGGUAGGUCCGUUGUGAAAACUCGAGGCUCAACCUCGAGACGUCGAUGGAAACCAUCUGGCUAGAGUCCGGAAGAGGAGAGUGGAAUUCCUGGUGUAGCGGUGAAAUGCGCAGAUAUCAGGAAGAACACCUAUGGCGAAGGCAGCUCUCUGGGACGGUACUGACGCUGAGACGCGAAAGCGUGGGAGCGAACA
rnacentral:rRNA from 1 species